AAGUCGUAACAAGGUCUCCGUAGGUGAACCUGCGGAGGGAUCAUUAACACGUGUAAAAACGUAUUAUAUACCCAUUUACCAACCAAUACCGUGAACUAUGUUUGAAAACAACAUUUUUUAUUUUUCUUUACUAUUACGGUCACUGGUUAUAGUGAAGAAAUGCAACCCUUUUCCAAUCUAAAUUUCUUUUUUUCUUUGUUAUUUUAACAGUAACAACAUAAAAAAUAAAAAUAAAAGCACAACUCUUAGCAACGGAUAUCUUGGUUCUC
rnacentral:misc_RNA from 1 species